GAUGAACGCUGACAGAAUGCUUAACACAUGCAAGUCUACUUGAACUUCGGUUUGGGUGGCGGACGGGUGAGUAACGCGUACAGAACUUUCCUCACAGUUAGGGACAACAUUUGGAAACGAAUGCUAAUACCUGAUAUUAUGAUUUUAGGGCAUCCUAGGAUUAUGACAGCUAUAUGUGCUGUGAGAGAGCUUUGCGUCCCAUUAGCUAGUUGGUGAGGUAACGGCUCACCAAGGCGAUGAUGGGUAGCCGGCCUGAGAGGGUGAACGGCCACAAGGGGACGGAGACACGGCCCUUAGUAAUACGGGAGGAUGGAGUGGAGAAUAAUGGAGAAUGGACCAAAAGGCUGAUCCAGCAAUUCUGUGUGAAAGAUGAGGUUUUUCGGAAGGUAAAGUGCGUUAAGUUGGGAAGAAAAAAAUGACGGUACCAACAGAAGAAGUGACGGCUAAAUACGUG
rnacentral:rRNA from 1 species